rnacentral:rRNA from 1 species
UACGUAGGGUGCAAGCGUUGUCCGGAAUUAUUGGGCGUAAAGAGCUCGUAGGCGGUUUGUCGCGUCGGAUGUGAAACCCCGGGGCUUAACCCCGGGCCUGCAUUCGAUACGGGCUGACUAGAGUUCGGCAGGGGAGACUGGAAUUCCUGGUGUAGCGGUGAAAUGCGCAGAUAUCAGGAGGAACACCAACGGCGAAGGCAGCUCUCUGGGACGUUACUGACGCUGAGACGCGAAAGCGUGGGGAGCAAACAGG